UGGCAACGACAUGGGAAAUGCUUAGCGCCCAAAAACUCUGGCCUACCCGCCGGGCUUCUCCGGUAUGUCGUUCGGCAUCGCCAGUCGCAGGCCUGUUGAUGCCGUUUCUAAGAGCGGCGGGAUGUGCAGACGCAUUGCGGUCCGGUGCGUACCGGCUCAAAUGCGCAUCGAGCCGACGCUUCCGAUUACGGGGCGGGGCACUCGCCUGAACUGCGGCCACUGCAGCGUAUCUCGCGCCGCCGCGAAGCGCAUAUAGCAGACCUGGUAUCCCUUCGGUCUCUGAUUAUAUUUACGUCAACGUCUGCACGGAAUAUGACCCUGGGAUACGCCGACUAUGAUCGCGUCUGUCGGGUAGCCGCGGUCGCUUGUGCUGCUCGAACUACCGGGCAGUUCCUACUGCACCCCUGUCAGUAUAAAUGGAAGAGGUCCUGUAGUAUGAGCGGAAACUUUCAAUUUUGGGUCACGUAUCAAUGUCAUCAGUACGAGUCUCUGUGAGCUUUUUCCGUGACUGUGUCUUUUCCUCUUUCAAAUCUCCGGUUCUAUAUCCGGCGAUCCCUCGACCUCCUCCAGCUCCAGUAUCAGCAGGCGAAGGAUGCAGGCUUUGACGUUCAAAUCCUGCUUUCGCCACUUGCAGCAGUUGUCGAUGCUCUGGAUGCCCAGACGCUGGUUGCGAUCUACGCUUUGCACGCCAUUCUCUUCCUCUAGGUUUACAGCAUCGGUGCGCUCUUCGCAAGGGUGGCACUUGGCUCUGGUCCGCUGUUGCCAUACGUCCAGCACACCUUCUCCGGACGCUGUCCUGUGGCUUGUGAACGCUUGCUCCAUCGCUCGAUCUAUGGCCUUGACGCGAAUAGAAAAGUCGUCUCGAUGCCGUGCACUGGUUCCGUGCCCAGUGCCGUACCGGCGGAUCAUGGGGUUCUUGUUCGCCAUCCGCUAUGCAAGUACGCCGUCGGCUGCAUACUCAAAGGCACGCCGUUCGAUUCAGUGGAGGAUUUGCGGAACGCGAUGUUGUCCGUGAUGAAACAAAUGCCGAAAAGAAUAUUCAGAAUGGAGUACAUGUCUGGAAAUUUCUAACCGUCUUCGCUCCCUUCAUACAAAGCCUUGACGCACGUUCCGCUAGAAGCAAUCAUCAUGAUGACUCGCAUCCGAGUCCAGGACCCUUUUCCAUGCAAACAGAAGAGACGAUAUCCUCUGGUGCGCAUCUUAGGGGAAGCAUCAUGCUGUCGAUGACGCCAGUUUCGUCGAUAGCCACAAGAAGAACAGGAGGGCUUGUCUUUCGAACGAAAUCUAUCAAUAAUUCGACAUCCCAAGUUCAUGGAAUGCUUGGCAUAUGCUGGUGAACAAGUCGUCAUCGGACGACAAUCGAGUAUUUUCUUCGUCAAUGUAGCAGCGGGAUCUGCUGCGCCCAUCAGCUCCCCCGAAAUACAAAGAUCGGAAAUUUGAAGCAUGCAUGGUUUCAUCAUUCUACACGUAAGGAAGUCAGAAGCGUGAUGGCUUGUGCGUAUGCACAGCGUCAUGAUAUGAGUUAGGCUAUGAGCUCGAACUCAACGGCGUUAUGCAGCAUCUUGGACGACAUUGACCUAACGAAUUCGAGCUGCAAAGCGUCACACAAGGCACCCCUAAAAGAGAACCGAGCA